CAGCGUGCGGUUCUGGUAUGGUCCCUGUAGCGCAGCCAGGAAUGUAAACUUGCAGAAGCCGAUACCGCCAUGCUGGAUUAGGGCAAAUGCUGCCAGAACAGUAAGUUCAUCAUUGGCAAAAGACAUGAAGUUCAUCUUUGUAUUAUCAACGAGUCUUCAUACCUGUUAAAAAGUCCAGACAAUGAUUUUGCAGUGGCCCCUUCACUUCCUGUGUUCAUCCAGAUGUUCAGGCUCUCCUUCUGUAGAAAAGCCAUUGUGCGGAGAAGCCCUGGAAGAUGAAAGAUUAUUAGAGAGGCUGUGUGGGUGAGUACUGAGCCACCCUAGCAGUUUGGCACCAGGUCCAGCUGUGUGAGGGAGGCCUCCUUAGAUCCUUAGAUCUGAUCCGGCUAUCAGCAAGCUGCAUGCAUUCCCAUGGACUGCAGUGGAGCCCAUACCAACACCUGGAUCCAGUCAA